GUAAUGUGAGAAUGUUCUUUCUCACAUUAUUUCUAGUAGAAAUACCCUGAGAACACUGUUGUUUGUGAUAUUUCUACAAAAUGUUCUUGGAGAUUGGAUGUGACUAAAUUUGCCUUUGUAAUCAUGUUUUUUUUUCUUUCUUCCAGCUGAAAUUUGGGCAGCAUCUAAUGUUCCUCUAUUUUAAACAUUUCUUUUAUCAUUAAGCUUUGUCCAGAUUUGUGCCAAAUGAAGCCUUUAGCUGAAAUGGCUGAUUUGUUUCUUUUGUGCCCUAAGACCUAUCCAAACUGAAUCAGAGGUUAAGAAACCAGAUUAAACUCCACAGCAAUUACAGUAUUUAUAGGAUUUUCUUCUGAGAUGAAGUUGUUUCGACUGCCCUUUCUGUUUCAAUGUGGACCCACAAUGGGGUUGAAUAAAACUGUGGAGGAGUAGAGACCUGGAAAACAAAGACCACAUACUGUAAAAAAGCCAUUCUAAUUAAAUCAGAAUGAAAACAGAAGAAUGCCUUUGCUUUCAGAGAAACAAGUGACCUAGAGAACCUUAUGACUUGGCAGUCUACACAUUUCUUUUUGAAAGACAACUCACAUCUUUUAAAGGAAAUAAAUCCUGGAAAAAAUAUAAGAUGUGUCAAGCCAAUCAGCUAUUUAUGCCAUUUCCUCCGAUCCUGAUGUUGCCUUCAUGAAUUAUGCACUUUCAGCUGCCACUACUCACAUAUGUGGGCCCUUGUGGCAUGUUUCCCAGGACCAGCAUGUGAUUACAGAUCAUAAAAAAUGAACAUACACAUUGCUCCUUCACUAAAGGCAGAGAUGCACAGUUGCAAAUGCUCCAUGUUAGAAAUGUCUCUUCUAUUUGAAAAAUAGCAGCUGUUAUUAAAAACAUCCAUAGGUAGAAUAGCUGAAGCCGUGAAAACAAAUCACCAUAAAGAAUUAAGAAACAGAUGCCCCUGAAGAAUGGAAUAGGUAAAGUAGCCACUAAGAGUUUUCCCAUAGCCAGAAGGUGGUGCUGCAUUGUAAUGUAGUCACAGGGGGUCAGGUUUGCAUCUUUGAUAACUUAUGCUGUUUGAUUCACCUUUAAAAAGUGAAAGAGUAGAAGAGAUUAAAUCAUCACAACUGCACUCUGGAGUAGUAUUUAGCAGAGGUAAAAUGAAGCAUAGAAUUUAGUUACUUAUCUAUUAAUAGCCUGUGGUUGUGCUGGUGUGAGACUGGGUCUUUUAGUAGAAGCUUUAAGUUCUCUGUCUAUUUCUUUUUUGCUGGUUUUAUUAAACUCUCCUGCUUUCUUAACUCUUCUGUUUCAUCUCAGGACACUGAACAACACAGAAGAUACAGUCAACCACCUUGUGAUGUGUUUCCUUGAAAAAAUGUUUCUUCUGGUAACAUAUUGCAUAAUUUUAGCAAAGAAACUUUGAGCUUUUUCCUUUUGUUGAAUAGAAGUUGAGAUAUUCAGCUCCAGGUAGACACUGUUGACGUCGAUGAAACUCUGCAAGGCUGUGCCAGGUGAGGUGGUGCAAAUUCCUUCUUUAACAGAAGGAGAGCAGAGCUGCUGUCACAUCGUGUGUCUGCACAGAGGAGAGUGGUGCUGUGCACAGGAUCCCAGGGAUUCAGCUCAGCAAGGGAAUGAAUCUGGAGGUUAAAAUUUUCCAUGGAUUAAAGGAGAGACGCUGUCACCUUAGCUGGCUGAAGGCUCACAGGCACCCCAGCAGUCUUGGUGUGUGGAGAAGCAGCUCCCUGUGAGCAAAUGCAGAAACACAGGUAAAGUUGAGUCACUUGUCUGAGACAGCAGCAAGACAAAGCAUCAUAGGGAAAGAGGUGGAAAGGCAAUGUCAUGGCACAGAAAAGUGUGUAAAAACAUUUGCAGAA